AACCAUUCUCACCUGCGGCUAGACCUGCGGAAGGAUCAUUACAGAGUUGCAAGACUCCCUAAACCAUUGUGAACCUACCUUCUACCGUUGCUUCGGCGGGCGGGCCCAGCGCCCCCCCGGCCCCCCGCGGGCGCCCGCCGGAGGAUACCCAAACUCUUGACAUUAGUGGCCUCUCUGAGUAUUCUUUACUGAAUAAGUCAAAACUUUUAACAACGGAUCU
rnacentral:misc_RNA from 1 species